AGUUAAUAUCCAGUCAUCGCUUAAUUUAUUUUGAGAUAUUUUAAGAGGAAAGUCCGAGCUCCAAUAAGAGCGUAAUGCUAGGUAAUACCUAGGAGUUUUAAACUUAAGAGAGUGUCACAGAAAAAUACCGCCUUAGGAUUAGGGUAAGGGUGAAAAGGUGAAGUAAGAGCUCACCGCUUAUUUAGUGAUAGAUAAGGACAAGACAAACCUCAUUAGGAGCAAAAUCAAAUAUGCAAGUUGCUUAGCUCUUGAAGACUUGCGGGUAGAUUGCAUGAUUUUUUCAGUGAUGAGAAAAUGAGAUAGAUGAUGACAUAAUACAGAACUCGGCUUAUGGGUAUUAACUUAAA
rnacentral:RNase_P_RNA from 1 species